AGUGAACGCUGGCGGUAGGCCUAACACAUGCAAGUCGAACGGCAGGACAGGAGAGCUUGCUCUCUGGGUGGCGAGUGGCGGACGGGUGAGGAAUACAUCGGAAUCUACCUUUUCGUGGGGGAUAACGUAGGGAAACUUACGCUAAUACCGCAUACGACCUACGGGUGAAAGUGGGGGACCGCAAGGCCUCACGCGAUUAGAUGAGCCGAUGUCCGAUUAGCCAGUUGGCGGGGUAAUGGCCCACCAAGGCGACGAUCGGUAGCUGGUCUGAGAGGAUGAUCAGCCACACUGGAACUGAGACACGGUCCAGACUCCUACGGGAGGCAGCAGUGGGGAAUAUUGGACAAUGGGCGCAAGCCUGAUCCAGCCAUACCGCGUGGGUGAAGAAGGCCUUCGGGUUGUAAAGCCCUUUUGUUGGGAAAGAAAUCCUGUCGAUUAAUACUCGGUGGGGAUGACGGUACCCAAAGAAUAAGCACCGGCUAACUUCGUGCCAGCCGCCGCGGUAACAC
rnacentral:rRNA from 1 species